rnacentral:rRNA from 1 species
UACGGAGGGGGCUAGCGUUGUUCGGAAUUACUGGGCGUAAAGCGUACGUAGGCGGCUUUGUAAGUUAGAGGUGAAAGCCCGGGGCUCAACCCCGGAAUUGCCUUUAAGACUGCAUCGCUUGAAUCAUGGAGAGGUGAGUGGAAUUCCGAGUGUAGAGGUGAAAUUCGUAGAUAUUCGGAAGAACACCAGUGGCGAAGGCGACUCACUGGACACGUAUUGACGCUGAGGUGCGAAAGCGUGGGGAGCAAACAGG